GACGAACGCUGGCGGCGUGCUUAACACAUGCAAGUCGAGCGGUAAGGCCCUUUCGGGGGUACACGAGCGGCGAACGGGUGAGUAACACGUGGGUGACCUGCCCUCAGCUCUGGGAUAAGCCUGGGAAACCGGGUCUAAUACUGGAUAUGACUCCAUGACGCAUGUUGUGGGGUGGAAAGCCUUGUGCGGCUGAGGAUGGGCCCGCGGCCUAUCAGCUUGUUGGUGGGGUGANGGCCUGCCAAGGCGACGACGGGUAGCCGGCCUGAGAGGGCGACCGGCCACACUGGGACUGAGACACGGCCCAGACUCCUACGGGAGGCAGCAGUGGGGAAUCUUGCGCAACGGGCGAAAGCCUGACGCAGCGACGCCGCGUGAGGGAUGACGGCCU
rnacentral:rRNA from 1 species